rnacentral:lncRNA from 1 species
GCAGGUCUUGAAAGAGCCUCGGCUGAGGCUUUCUCCUGUAACUUCUUAGACUCAAGACAAAAAAGGAGGUCUUCUAGCAGAUCAUAUCCCAGCCUUGAAAUCCAGGAGAAUGGAUACUCCAGAGACUGCCAUGGUGCACUUGGAGGGACAUCAAGUUCUCGGCAUUGCCAGAGCCCAAGAGUGGCACUAUGUUGCCUUGUUGGUGUAGGUGUUGGAGGAAGUCUGUCACUGUAGGAUUGGGCCUUGAGACCCUCCUCCGAGCUUCUGAUGGAUGAAGAUGUAGAACUCUCAGCUCCUCCAAUUCCAUACCUGCCUGGAUCCUGCCAUGCUUCCUUUUAUGAUGAUAAUGGUUGCUCUCUCAAGAUGUAAGAUCUCAGCUAUUGUCCCAGCACCAUGCCUGCCUGCUUGCCUGUUGCUGCCAUGCUCCCAGCUAUGAUGAUCAUGGACCCUAACCUUCUGAAACUGCAAGACCGAUAAGAGCACCCUUCAUCUGGGUCCCCAGCAAUCUGUCCUGUUCUACUGUGGGUGGAGAAUAGCACCGUGCUGGGUGGCUGUGUGACACAUGGAGCCACAUGGCUAGGUCUUGCACAACAGAAGAGGAAGCAGGGAAAUACAGCUUAAAUGAGUGUCAGCGGCUGGCAGGAUGGCUCGGUGAAGAAGGACAGUUGCUGGCAAGAUUGAAGUGUUCAGUACCUGGAUCCCACUUGGUAGAAACUGAAAUCCAGCUCUAGCAAGUUGUCAUCUGACCUCCACAUGUAUGUAUGCUCCACACACACAGAGAAACACACACACACACACACACUCACACACACACACUCACACACACAGAGCAAAUACGUGAGUAAGUGAGACUUACAAUAAAAAAGUAGCAGCCAGAUGGAAAGCAGUGGCUGGGUUCUCCAUCUGCUGGAGUGUUUGUCUAACUGUCCACACCCUGGCCUUCAAGCCCCCGCUACCCCCAAGCAAAGCAAAAUAGCAAUGACGAGAAACAAGGCAAGCAAAACCCUCUGAGGUUUAGCUGACUGUGGUAGCACCCACCUAGAAUGCUAGGAUUAGGGAAGCUGAGACAGGAGGAUUGCAAGAUUGUGAGUCUGACGUUAGUCAGGGCUGCUGAUACUGAAAGACUCUGACGGGUAGGGGUCAUUGAAAAUGAAGCUACGAACAAAGAUUGAGUCAUUUGAGUUAGUGAACGCACAGCUCAAGAAAGGCAAGCAUUUUUAAAAAAUUUAUUCUCUUCUCAUACAAUCCAUUACGACUGCAGCUUUCCCUCGAUCC